rnacentral:lncRNA from 1 species
UUCUUUUUUCUUUCAACAUAACACAUUUGCCAUGCUAGCUUUUGAUUAUUUUUUAUUUUAAUUUUCUUUUUCCUAUUCAUCAAUGUUCAAAUUAACAUUUUUAUGCUUUCAUGGCUUUACCUCAAAUCCAGCCUAUAACUUGCAAGCCCCAUUUAAAUUCUAGUAAUUUCUUAGUAAUCCCUCAAUCUAAUCAACCUAAUGUGUUUUCCUUCUAAAAAAUUUUGACCAAAAAAUGACAAGAAAAUAACAACUACUACUCACUCCAAAUACCAAAAAGCCCAAUUUCUACUCGGCAUUGUAUCAAACAUUUGUUGAGCAUAAUCUAACAUUCAUUUCUUCCAGAUAUUUUUCGAACUAUUAUCCCAAAGAUAAACGAAUACAAUUUCUACUGUAUAAGAAACUUACGAGGUAAGUACACAGUACAUGAUCUAUCAAAAAGCAACCUCGAACUGGAAAAAAAAUGUAAAGAAUCUGAGGAACAUCCUUCUCAGAAUAUUUUUGCUUCUCACUUCAAUCAAUUGGUAAUGAUUUUUCACACACGUCUAAAGAGUGUUCAAAACAAAACAAAUCAACCUAAAUACAUCUUACAAAUAGAUCAAAAAUGAUCUUUUCUUUUACUUGCGGUGUAUUUGCUAUCUGAAGGAACCACAUUCCCUUUUCUCCUCCUUUUGCUUUUUUCUAGGUCUGCUCCUGUCAGAUAUGCAAACCUGCACAGUACGGUGAAAUGAAAGUGGGUUGAUCAUAAGAUAGUAACAGAAGAAAGAGAAGAAAAUCCCAUGAUCAUAGGAUAAAAACAAAAAGAAUAUAAGCUUAUUUUAAGCACGAUUAGUUUGGAGCCCUGGGAUUACACCUUCACCCUUCCCUUCGCGAGUAGUGGUCAAUUUAGUCCAGGCCCGCCUCCCCUCACCUAGCCCGGACCCGGGACCACGCUCAGGUCCGAGACCGCCCCAGACCCGAGACCAGGCCCAGGUCCAGGCCCCCCUCCCCCCCGCAGGACCACGCCCAAGUCCGGACCCCCACCCCCUNNNNNNNNNNNNNNNNNNNNNNNNNNNNNNNNNNNNNNNNNNNNNNNNNNNNNNNNNNNNNNNNNNNNNNNNNNNNNNNNNNNNNNNNNNNNNNNNNNNNNNNNNNNNNNNNNNNNNNNNNNNNNNNNNNNNNNNNNNNNNNNNNNNNNNNNNNNNNNNNNNNNNNNNNNNNNNNNNNNNNNNNNNNNNNNNNNNNNNNNNNNNNNNNNNNNNNNNNNNNNNNNNNNNNNNNNNNNNNNNNNNNNNNNNNNNNNNNNNNNNNNNNNNNNNNNNNNNNNNNNNNNNNNNNNNNNNNNNNNNNNNNNNNNNNNNNNNNNNNNNNNNNNNNNNNNNNNNNNNNNNNNNNNNNNNNNNNNNNNNNNNNNNNNNNNNNNNNNNNNNNNNNNNNNNNNNNNNNNNNNNNNNNNNNNNNNNNNNNNNNNNNNNNNNNNNNNNNNNNNNNNNNNNNNNNNNNNNNNNNNNNNNNNNNNNNNNNNNNNNNNNNNNNNNNNNNNNNNNNNNNNNNNNNNNNNNNNNNNNNNNNNNNNNNNNNNNNNNNNNNNNNNNNNNNNNNNNNNNNNNNNNNNNNNNNNNNNNNNNNNNNNNNNNNNNNNNNNNNNNNNNNNNNNNNNNNNNNNNNNNNNNNNNNNNNNNNNNNNNNNNNNNNNNNNNNNNNNNNNNNNNNNNNNNNNNNNNNNNNNNNNNNNNNNNNNNNNNNNNNNNNNNNNNNNNNNNNNNNNNNNNNNNNNNNNNNNNNNNNNNNNNNNNNNNNNNNNNNNNNNNNNNNNNNNNNNNNNNNNNNNNNNNNNNNNNNNNNNNNNNNNNNNNNNNNNNNNNNNNNNNNNNNNNNNNNNNNNNNNNNNNNNNNNNNNNNNNNNNNNNNNNNNNNNNNNNNNNNNNGUCCUCCUCCCCGGUUUGGACCCGGGACCACGCCGAGCUCAAGGCCUCUCACCCCACCCCCACCCACCCACUCACCCUGCUAAGUAUUAGAGAACUAAUAUAAAAAUAUAAGAGUCUCACCUGCAUUAAUUUAACUGCAAAACUGGAUUUAGCUCCAUCAAUGCUUUCAAAUAAAGAUCCUAAAGAACAUAAUAGAUGAGAAGAAAAAUCAGAAACGCAUUGAAGCAUGUGAGGUAUUGAAAACUACAAGGAAGUCUAAGAAAAGAAGUCAGGAGAUUUGAUUUUGCAAUGGAUCUGUAGAUUAAUACUUACCAAAUAUGAAGUAAAUAUCAUCAACAAUCACUUCUUAUGCUAAGUUCUUCAAGUACAUCUGAGAAGGAUUCCCAGCAGAAUAAUUCCGCAUAGAAACUCAUGAGUUAAUCAUUCAGUCCUUUGUUUGCACUAAUAGUUCAACAUAGAAGGAAAUACCUUUCGUGCUUGUACACGGACUGUGAUGUCUAAGAGUUCAAACACAAACUUGCUACUUAGCUUUUCUCAUUAAUAGAACUUUUGAUGAUUAAGAAGUGAACAUGAUAACUUAUAGACUGGAAAGAUGCAAUCUUAAUGAACUUCUGCAGCAAAUAUUUACUGAACAAAAACAUUUCUUAUCAAUAAACCAGAUACUACUCAUAAUGAAAGGCUAAGAAGCAACAAUCUAUAAGAAAAAGUAGGUUGUAUGAAGCAUGAAUGUAUCUCAAAGCUCAUGAACGUAUCUCAAAACAUGGUGUCACUGACAAAUGAUAAUGGCAGCAGACGCUAAAGCAUAAUGCUAGAAACGAGCAACUGGGAAACUAUAUCUCACUGAUACCUCUUGGUUUGACAACAUAAACAGAAGUAAUUGCAUCAGUAUGGCCCUCUAGUAGAUGCGUACAAGAUCCAGCAGCCUUCUAUAUUCUGAUUAGCACUAUCAAAAGUUAGGUUGACACAAUAACCUUAAAAGAAAAGGCGAGUUCUAAACCAAAAAAUGCAAUUAGCAUAAGAAUAAACAAUCAGUAGGUUAUCAUCCAAAACCAUCAUAACAUCCAGUCAAAACAAACCUCAGAUCACAAAUAAGCACAUCUUGUCAGUUAAGGCAAUAGUGGAUUGUAUGCAAAGAAGACCUUUUUUACAUUCUUAAUUGUCACCAUGUAAUAUUUUAGGGGCAAAAGCACAUGGAGGAUGAAUUUUACCUCAAAACACUUGGAAAAAAAACAGCAUAACGUAAUAAUAUCAAAAACAUUGUCCUUAUUAAUCUAGUGUGUAAGAGAUAUGUAUGAGUGAAGUGAAUGCGCAACAGACCUGGAGUACAAGGUACAGAGAUCAAAUAUCCAGAGAAAUGAAACCAUUUCAUUUAGUCAUAUUAUGCUAGCUCUCUAUUUAUCUAUUUAUUUGGGGGUGGGGGGUGCGGCGGAUAAAACCAAUACAUUAAACAGAGAAUGAUAUACAAGGCAUUAAAAAUUACAAGGAUGACACUGAUAUUCUAGAUAAACAAACUUCACACUCAUGCUUACUUAGAAUUAGAACCAUCAACAGCACUAACCCAGCAUACUUAUCGAAGAAGAAGAGAAGUUCACUUACAUCGUUAAACAUUUUGAUAAUCUAUGAAGAAUAUUCGAGUGGAAAUUAAAGUGAGUUUAGAAGAUAUUUUUGGACGAAAAUUGAGGGAUAACUGGAGAAUGAGAAAGAGAAAGUACAAAGGGAAAAGGAUCAGAGUAGAGCUUUUUCAAAUUUAACCUAGAGAAGUUCUCUGUCUUCCAAGUAAACCUUACAGUCUGGGGACCUCCGAUUGCAGAUUUUCCCCAUCAUGUCAUGUUUCUACUGCUGCUAGCAAGUCAACAUGGAGAAACCAUCAGAUCAAAACCUCUAAAUCCAGCUGUAAAGAACAUAGACGUACAUAUUGGAUAAGCCAAUGUACAAUCAUCUAAGAUUUAGUUUAAUUUGAAAAUUGUAGCAACUUGAAAUGAAGAUGCAUGGCGUAAGCCCUGUGGUGAAGCUGCACUACACAACCUUUCUCAUUACCAUAUCUCCAACAACAUCAUCGAUAGCACAGUCGUCCAAAUGUUACAUAUGACUUUUGUCCACCAUCCUUUAGAUAUCCAAUGACGCAGAGAUGCACCACAUUAUUAAAGCUCAUCAAAACAUACCAAAGUGGCUCUGCACAACCAUUGUACUAAUAUUCCAAAAGGUUAAGUAAACAAAUCUCUUGUGAUUGCAAACUAUUAAACUAAAGAAUAAGUUAUUCAAGACAAUUAUUCACUUCCCAACAUUUCAUUGGACAACAAGCGAAUCUAAAAUGUGAACAUACUUACAUUAUCAGUCAACUUUCCAUAACAUGGAUCCUAUACCGCAAACUUAUAUUUUAAUAAAUUAACAUAUCAAUGCCUAGUUUAGCAUAGUUCAGACUCCAGACACAACAUUUAGUAAACAAAAGGAGUCAAAAUUAUCAGUUGUUUUAUUUCUCAUCCUUCAGUUAUUUCUGCCUGACUAGGCAUUCACGAGUGCCAAUGUAGCAUGAAUGAGUAUUUUUCCCUUUGAAUAACCUAUCAAGUAUCAACUGUAUAAACAUGGGAAAUGUUCCACUAAUCCUAUAUACGCCAUUCUUGAAAUAGUAAAACACAAAUAAAUUGCUUCUUUUUCUUCCUCACAUUUCUUCUUUUUUCUUUUGAGAAAGGUAAAAUACUUCCUCGUGUUUCUUAUUACCUUUUAGUAUCCCCUUUGAAUAACAUAUCAACCGUAUAAACAUGGGAAAUUUUCUACUAAUCCUAUAGUCCCAAUUCUUGAAAGAGUAAAACACAUUGCUUCUUUUUUUCCCUCGCAUUUCUUAUUACCUUUGAAUAACCCAUCAACAGUAUAGACAUGGGAAAUGUUCUGCUAAUCCUGUAUGCCACAUUCCCGAAAUAGUAAAACACAAACACACUGCUACUUUUUUUCUCAAAUUUCUUGUUACCUUUGAAUAACCUAUCAACUGUCUAAACAUAGGAAAUGUUCUACUAAUCCUAUAGUGCCCAUUCUCGAAAUAGUAAAACACAAACACAUUGCUUCUUUUUUUCCCCCUCAAAUUUCUUAAAUCCUAUAGUCCCCAUUCUUUAAAUUGUAAAACACAAACACAAUGCUUCUUUUUCUUCCUCACAUUUCUUAUUACCUUUGAAUAACCUCUCAACUGUAUAAACAUGGGAAUUGUUAACUUAUCCUUUAGUCCACAUUCUUGAAAUAGUAAAACACAAACACAGUGCUUCUUUUUCUUCCUUGCAUUUCAUAUUACCUUUGAAUAAUAUAUCAACUGUAUAAACAUAGAAAAUGUUCUACUGCUCAUAUAGUCCACAUUCUCGAAAUAGUAAAAAACAAAUACAUUGCUUCUUCUUCCUCGCAUUUCUUAAUUGAUACAAACACUUCCUGACGUUUCUUAUUACCUCUGAGUAUGCCCUUUGAAUAACUCUAUCAACUGUAUAAACAUGUGAAAUGUUCUAAUAAUCAUAUAGUCCACAUUCUUGAAAUAGUAAAACAAAAACACGCUGCUUUCAUUUCUUUCUCAGUUUCUUUGAGAAAGGUAAAAUACUUCCUCCGUUCUCGAAAUAGUAAAACAGAAACAGAUUCCUUCUUUUUCUUCAUCACAUUUCUUUUUUUUUGUUUUGUUUUUAGAAAUGUAGAAUACUUCCGCACACUUCUUAUUUCAUUUGAAUAACCUAUCAACUGUAUAAACAUGUGAAAUGUCCACAUUCCUCAAACAGUAAAACACAAACACAUUGCUGCUGCUUCUUCCUCACAUUUCUUAAUUGAUACAAAUAAUUCCUCGUGUUUCUUAUUAUCUCUGAGUGUCCCCUUUGAAUAACCCUAUCAACUGUAUAAACAUGCGAAAUGUUCUACUAAUCAUAUAAUCCAUAUUCUCAAAAUAGUAAAAUACAAACAGAUUGCUACUUCUUUUUCCUCGCAUUUGUUAAAUAAUACAAAAAAAAAAAAAACGCUUAAUUAAUUACCUUCCUUAGGCUGAGGACCUUCUCAUCAGACAAAUCAGAACGUGGAAGACAUCUCCUCAUCUUCUCGCUACUCCGACAUAAACACACGAGAAAAAAAAAACAGUUACAAAAAUUCACAAAGUACAAAACCCUAAAAUUAACAAAGAAUUAGUAACAAUUGUAAGGCAAUUCAAUUGUAAGAAUUAUUAUACUUAAACCGUUAAACGUUUUGAUAAUUGAUGAAGAAUAUUCGAGCGGAAAUUGAAGUGAAUUUAGAAGAUGCUUUUGGAAGAAAAUGGCCCGUGAAAAUUGAGAGAUCAACUGGAGAACGAGAAAGAGAAAGUAUAUAUAGAGGGAAAAUGGAAAUGAUAGAUCCUCCAAGUUUCUAAUUAAGAAAAGGUAAUAAGUGGUCCGGCAAAUAAAUUAAGUCAUUGAGGCAGUUAUUCCAUAAUUAUAUUAGUUAUUUGAACAACUUCUUUCAUUUGUCAAAUAACUAUGUUUAGUUGUUCAAACAGCUGCGUUCAAUUGUUGAAUAAUUUAUGCAGUUGUUGAAUAAUUUUAUAAAAUUAUCGAACAACUAUCAAAGUUGUUCUACAACUGAAAUAAGUUGUUGAAAACAAAAAAAUCUUAAAAAAAAAAAAAACUCAAAAAGGAUUUGUCCAUCCCACCUAAUUUUAAAAAUUUGAAUGACUCCCACUUAAUUGGAUAACUUGUUCGUCCUUUUUAAUCCAAAGUCCCCUGCUAUAGUAGUAAGAUGGAACAAUGGGAGGGUAGUUUAGUCAUUUAAGAAUAAUCUUUUACGUAUUUUUUUAACGGUCAAAUUUUUCCUAUUUUUAGCCUUUGAUGUGGACCGUUGGAUGCAAUUGAUUGAGCUGUUACUGAGCGUUGGAUGUUGUAUGUAAUAAUCUGUUGGCUUGCCCCCUAGUGUAUCAUUUAGAAUUUACUCCUAAUUCUUCAAAAUUAUGUAAAUAUAAGGACAUGUGAAUGUGGUAUAAUAAUUUUUAUAAGAUUUUCCAAUUUUGUUAAAAAGAAUUUUUAGAUUAUGAUUAAAAAAUUCAUAAUUGUAAUAGGAAUAAAAUUUGUCAUUUACUAAAUGAUUAUAUGGUUUAUAUCAAAAAGAGCUAAUCAGCAAAAAAAUUUUAGUAAUAACCGGUCUAUUACUAUUAUUAGUGUAACUGCAUAUGCCCCGCACAUAUAAUAUUUGAUUAUUUAAAGUUAAAUAAUUUUAUUUUUUGUGAAGUUUUUUAAUAAAGUGUAAAAAAUUUAAAUCCGUUAUAAAAUAAGAAAGAAUAAAGAAUAAAAUAAGAAAGAAUAAAGAAGAGUAGAGAGAAUAGAGAGAGUAGUUCUUAUUUCUUCUUUUGAGGGAUGAGAGAUCAUCAGGUUGUAUAUACAAUGAACAAAAACUCUCUAUUUAUAGAGAAAAUUUACUCCUAAUCUGAGUAAAAGACGGAUGCUUCAAAUCCUAAUAGAUAUCAAAGUAGAUUUUGAUAGAUCUUGAUAGACAUUCACUAUAAUGUAAACACAUUUAUAACUCUUCCCCUUGAAUGUCUAAUUGGUAGAUAAUGUGCCUCGUUAAAACCUUACUAGAAAAAAUCCAGUAGGAAAAAAAUCUAGUGAAGGAAAAAGAGUACAUAUCUCUAAUAAUACGCAUUUCGGCUGCCUUAUUAAAAACCUUACAAGGAAACCCAGUGAGACAAAACCUCGUAAGGAAAAAAAAGUACAGCGCGUAUUAACUCCCCCUAAUGAGAACAUCAUUGAACCUCUGCAUCCCGAUCUUGUGCGUCAUCUUCUUAAAAGUUGUAAUUGGAGAAGACUUGAUAAAUAAAUCAGUCACAUUGUCAGUUGAACGAAUUUGUUGCACGUUAAUAUCAUCAUUCUUUUGUAGCUCAUGUAUGUAGAAAAGUUUUGGCAAAAUGUGCUUCGUUCUAUCUCCAUUUACGAAUCUCUCUUAAGAUGUGCUAUGUAUGCUGAAUUAUCUCUGUAUAAAAUUGUUGGUAGAUUGUCAUAUUUCACACCACAUUUUUCUCGAAUGAGAUGUAUCAUGGACCUCAAUCAUACACAUUCUCGGCUUGCUUCAUGAAUAGUUAUUAUCUCAGCAUGAUUCGAUGAAGUGGCUACGAUAGACUGCUUUGUAUAUUUCCAAGAUAUGACAGUAUCCCCACGUGUGAACACAUUGUAUGUUUGAGACCGAGAUUUAUGCUGGUUAGAUGAGUACCCAACAUCAGCAUGACCAGUAAGAUCGGGGCUGCAAUAUUUAGAAUAAAAUAAACUCAUGUAUCUUAUUCCAUUUCGAUAUCUCCUAGUAGAAGUAGAAAUAUAUCUUGCUAACAAAUUGAGCGAAAAGCUAUAUUGGGUCUUGUAGUUUUUUACAAGAUAUAUGAGUGCACCAAUUGUACUAAGAUAUGGUAUCAUAACCAAUCCAAAUCGGUAUAUUUCUCAUUUCAGCAAAUAAUCUUAUUACUUUUGAAAACUCUCCAAGAAUUUUAAUAAUUUUCAAGCUAUAAGCUUAUACAAUAUAAGGAUUAUCAAUAAGUUUCCUAGAAAGUUUUAUAUUUUGAAUCCUUAAAUAAGUUUUCAUACAAAUUUUGUCGGAGUGAUAAUAUUCAACAUUUUAUGUGUGACAUGCAUCUUCAAGUGUCUGGACUGCAAAUCAAAUAAGUUUUCACUUACCAAGAUGCAUCCUUUCAUGUCACUUAAUAAAUGUUUCUAUGUCAGCAUGCUUAAAUUAAUGUAGAAUUAAGAUCCUCGUAAUCUUUCACAAUAUUGCGUCAAUAUUGUGUCAAAGAUAUUGAUGAUGUAUCAUUUAGUAUCGGUUCACAAUGCGACAUAACAUUUUGAGAUCUCAUCACUUCAUUAUUUUCAGGUACAUGAACAUCUCAUAAGGUUUCAUGAAGUGUUAUGUCAUAGGCUCUUCAAGAGUUCAUUGCCUUCUUAUUAUAAUUAUUUGCUCCUUAUUUUUCAAGAAUUAUUUCAUUUGAAAUCGAUUAGUCUAUCACAUUUCACGCAUACAUAGACUUUGUCCUUUAAGAACACAAAAUAAGAGCACUUGCGCUUAAUAUGAGAUGCUUUCGACAUUUGACUUGAAUUAUCUUUUGAAUGAGGAUUUGAUGAUAAUUCCUAACAUACUUCAUAGCUGCUUAUAAUCUCCCCCUUAUGCUAGGAAAGCUAACAUACAUCCUCCAUUUUCUUUGAUGCAUCUAUCUUUGUGCAUCAUGGUACAUUCAUUAAUCGUAUAUCGCACAUCAAAACUAUUAGAUAGAAUAGUUGGUUCAUGACCUUGAACCAAUUGAGGGGAAGAAAUAAUCAUAAUUUAUUGGUCUAAUGCAUACAAGUGUUAUUGUAUGCAACAUGUCAUAUUUCAGAUCAACACAUGAAGCUUUGUUCUCAUUAGCGAUGGUUUAGCUAUUUAUCGAAGGCAUUCAAUGCCAAACCAUCAUCAUCAAGAUAACUUUCUUGAUUGCACAAUAUGAAAAUUAUGUUCCUUAACUCAAUUUGUUGAGCAAACAACUUUAUGAAUGUCAAACUGCAGGUUGACAAUGAAUGUACAUGUGAUCAUCUUAUUGAUGCAUCAUUUUAACAUAUCACAUGAUAGAUGAACGGGCUCUUAUUCGCCUUUUAAAAUUUCCAAAUUUGAAGGGAUCCAAUCCCAAUAUUAGUUAGUCCAACCAACUUAUCAUGAGAACAAACGACAUAAACAAUUUUUGAAGAAUCUUCUAGUUCUUCAAUAAAUGCACAUCUUUGAGAUGUCACAAUCGUUCAUAUCAAUUCAUGAACUUUUAUUCUAGUAAACUCCAAGUUUACCAUGACAUGUACUUUUUCUUUAGUAAAUUUCAGAUUUACUAUUACAUGAAUAAAUUUUAAAUUUAGUACAUCAGAAGUAGAUUUCAAAAUUAUUCAACCUCUUUCGGAGGUGAGUUGUGAUACAAUCACAAUCAAGUUCACAUUUGCAUUAAUAAGUUUCUCAUUCCCUAUAAAUGGAAUAUAAUCGUGCCUUAAGCCUAUCAAAUUAUGAUAGCUUAUAACCUCUUUCAAGAUUUUGCUACUUCAAAAACAAACCGAGGCAUACAUAUGAUGUAGAGAAUUUUUCUCUAGCAUAUCUUAUAAUCAUAUAAGCGUGUGAAAAUAUUUGAUGAUCAUUAUUAUAUUCGUGCAUUCAAUCACUUAUCUUCUUUCAGACAUAUUAUGCACUGCUACCACAUACACCUCAAGAAUGAAGUAAGUUGUCAUAUUUCAAACUCAUCAUAUAUUGCUACCACAUUCACUUCAUGGAAUGGAGCAUAUUCAAUGGGUCGAAUUUCAUAACUUUUCACCCAAUACCCAUUAUUUUGUCUUAGCCAUCACAAUAUCAUCAAGGGAAAAGGCAUCGUUUCUACCCCAAACUAUACCCGAAAAGUCGAAGCCACGCCUAAACUAUACUAGUGACCUAUUACACACCUAAACUAUAAAAAAGUGAAACCAUUUACACCCUGUCAGGCUACCACCACUUGCAUGUGGUGUAGUGUUUUACACGCGCUGCCACGUCAGCACUACGUCAGUAAAAAGUAUCACUUUUUUAUAGUUAAGGUGUGUAAUAGGUCACUUAUAUAGUUUAGGUGUGGAUUCGACUUUUCAACUAUAGUUUGGGGUGGAAACAAUGACUUUUCCCAUAAUGUUUUUAGUCGUUUACUUUUGUUAUUUAAUAGGCUGGACGCGCCUAAAAUAAGUGUAAUACACGCCUUAUAAUGGGGGUUGCGGGGAGGUAAUAAUAUUUAUUUUUUAUAGUUAAGGUGUUUAAUAGGUCACUAGUAUAGUUUAGGUGUGACUUAGACUUUUCGGGUAUAGUUUAGGGUGAAAAUGAUGCCUUUUCCCUAUCAUCAAUAUGGUGUAUUGAGAUUCAAACUCAAUAUUUUAUCCAUAUAAAGGCGUCUUAGGCAUAAAUCAAUGGAACUUGAACCCAAAUAUUACUAUCCCUUUUGAUAAUAUUCUUCUUGAGGAAUGAAUUUAAAACAUAAAUGGUUCCAAACUAAUUAUUUUUCCUCAAAUCCAACAAUAAUUAUAUCAUUAAUAGAAAAAUACGAAUAACAUAAGGAAUUACUAACCUUGACCUUUAGAUUUAUAAUCUCACCUUAUUGGACAGAGUCUCGUGCUGAUAACGUAUUAUGAAAUAAGAAAGAAUAAAGAAGAAGAGUAGAGAGAAUAGAGAGAGUGGUUCUUAUUUCUUCUCUUGAGGGAUGAGAGAUCAUCAGGUUGUAAAUACAAUGAACAAACCCCCUCUAUUUAUAGGGGAAAUUUACUCAUAGUCUAAGUAAAAGACGGAUGCUUCAAAUCCUAAUAGAUAUCAAAGUAGAUCUUGAUAGAUCUUGAUAGACAUUCACUAUAAUGUAAAUACAUUUAUAACAAAAUCACUUUUCAAAGAUCCAUUGCAUUUUAAUACGAUAAUGUAAACAUAAAUAAAUAUUUUAGUAUAAGCAUAUGUAUAUUUUACCACCACAAGUUCCAAAUGAUUGAUGGAUAUCACUUUUACGUUUGUAAAUUGAUCAUAAAUUCAGCCUUAUUCGUUUUGCAUUUGUUCUAGAACCUAGACUAAAGCCUCAUUUGUAAUUAUUAAUAUUCAGACAUCAAAAUUCUAAAUACAUAUCUGAAUAUUAUGUUUCAUUAACUGUUGAAUGAACCCUCGAUCACCUGUGGUACCCAAUAUUGAACAAAUGACGCUCAUCUUGAUUGUGCUCUUCAAAAUCAUUAAUUUUAUCAUUGAUGCCAUGACGUCCCUUGAUGUCUCGUUCAAUGUGUACGUCAAACAUCUGCUCCCCUUCCUAUGCAUUGUUCAAACAUGCAUUUAAAGUGUAUUAAAUACGUGUAAUGCAAAACUAAACAUUCAUAUAAUGCAAUCGCAAAAACUAAAGGAAAAUGUCAGAAACAUAAAACUAAAAAGUUACCUUCAAAUUCAGAUUUUCAGGCUGCCUCCAGACAACAACUUAAUUUCAUUUAAUAUUUUCUCAAAAUAUAUGGUUAUAACAUUCUUCAUAGCUAAAAAUAAAUCAUCAACCUAACUAACUAACAACAAUAUCAACAUACUCAGUUUGGUCCCAUGGGGCAAAGAAGUUGUUUUUAAUAAACCAUUGGCUCAAGUAGAACAUAUUGAAAUCAAGUAUCCAAGAAGCAAAAGUUUGUAUUUUUACUGCAGAAAGUUGUGGAGCGAAGAAAAGGGAGGUCUCUAUUUAGCAAAGAUGAACAUGAAUGUGUACAUUAUUAUAGUUGGUUCUGCAACACCUAGGAUCAACAAAGGUUGAACCAAUGAUGGAGUGUAUAAUUCCAAAAAAAUUGCAGUGAAUGCUAAUUUUUACGGCAGGUAGAAUUUAAUCUGUAGGUGUUAUAAGAAUUUCAUACACAUUAAACAAUUUAUGAAUUUCUAGGUCCAAAGAUAAUUGAAACAAAUUCACCUUGCAUCUUUCAAUGAUCAUAAACUUAUGUAGCAAUAAACAACUAAGACAUAAACUAUCAGAAAAUUCAUGUUAUCUUACAACUCCACAUAAUAAUACAUAGAAUUUCAUCCAAACUCUUUCUAAAAUAUACUAAUGAAUAAUGAAUGAAAAGAAAGUACCUCAAAGUUUACAUAAUCUUCUAAUGCCUUUGUCCAAUUGAAAUAACCCCAAUGUAUUUUUGUUUGAAGACGCUACUUCUAUUGAUUUUUUAUAAAAUCUAUACUGCAAACUAAAAAUACUAACAAUUCUCACUUUUGCGCUAUUAAUAUGUAGAGAAAUACAUGUCCAAAACAAAUAGACAUAACAUAUCCGAGCGGCAUAAAUGGCUAACCAAUACAUGGUACAUGCACAACUAUGCAAGCAAAGCAAAAAAUAGAAUGAGGAUCUUUGUUCGUCAUUCCCGUCUACACACAAAAACAUACAAUCAAUUAAACAUGAUACACAACUAUUCAAGCAAAACACAAUAUAGAUUUAUAAAAUUGAAUCAGAAUUUAUUCAAUCAUUAAGAGAUACUCCUCAUUUAUAAUCAAAUAAUGAGUCCUACUACGUUUGUGAAAUUUUAUUUGGUCCAUCCUUAAUUUAUAAAAGUCGAAAAUCUCUAUAGAAAGAAUUUACCUAAAUAUGAUAGAUUUUUCUUCUUUUUUUGAAAGAAAAAAAGCAAAAAAUAUUUCUGGUAAUUUUCUUUAUUUACUUAAAUUUUAAGAUAUUAACAUAGUACUUCAAGAUUUCUACUAUGACAUUAGUAGUUGGGUCUACUGGAUUUGAAAAAAAAACAAAAAAAACAUGAACCUAAAAACAAAUCCUUCACUUCUAAACCUAACAUUAAUAUCGUUCUAAAAAUGCCACCGACCCCUAAAUUUUACUUAAAAUAAAACUGUAACAUUUAUGACAUUAUUUGAAUUUCAAUUAUUAUACUUGAUAAUUAAAAGAUAAUUAUUUAAGAAAAUUAGUAUAAAGAUGAUUUUAUCUAUUACAGAAUUUUUUAAUGAAGGGCAAAAAGUUCAAAUCACCUUUUUAAAAGUUCACAUUUUUUAUAUAUUAUGAAUAUAGAUUAUUAAUUACUUUCAUAAUAUAAAUUUCCAAAAUAUAUGGAACUCUUUCCGUUAUUUUGUCAUGUAUAACAUUAAUAUUAAUCAUUAUUUGUUACGAAUGUAUUUACAUUAUUGUGAAUGUCUAUUAGGAAUAUAGAUAAAAUCUAUCAAGAUCUAAUUGAUAUCUAUCAAGAUUUGAAGUAUCUGUCUUUUAGUGAGAUACUAAUAUCUAUCCUUUAGUGAGAUAGUAGGAGUAAAUUUUUCCAUAGAGGGAUUUUAUUCAUUGUAAAUUAUUCUCAAAAAUCUCAUCUCAAAUAAAGAAGUCUCCCCUCUUCUCUCUCUAUUUAUCUAUUUAUCUACUCUUUUUCUUUAUUCUUUGUUAUUUCAAACACGUUAUCAACAUUUUUUGUUAUUUCAUAACACGUUAUCAGUAUUCUUUGUUAUUUCAUAACACAUUAUCAGCACGAUACUCUACUAUAUUGAGUAUAUGCUUUAAAAUAUUGAAGCAGUUUGAAACUUCAAUCAUCAGCCGAAUCAAGGUGAAAUUAUAAUUGUCAAAAUAAUCUCAAGGUGAGUAUGGAAUUUGAUAUAAUCAAAUUCAAUUUACACCAAAUAUAUAAUUGUUAUAAACUCUUAGAUUUUGGUACUUUAAGUACGGUUGUGAAUCUCUAUGUAACAUUGAGUAGCAGGUAUGUUUAAGGUUGUAAUUAAUUUUGAAAUUUACUUUCUCACAAAAAAAAAAAAGAAAUUGCUCUACAGUAAAUUACCUUAAGAGUAAUUACUUUUUUAUAAUUAGUAUUACGUUCUUGCAUGUUAAUAUUGAAUUUAAGAAAUACAAGUGGAGCCACUGAAAUAUGUGCUUGAUUAUCAUAUUGUAUCCCUAGAAUAUGAUAUAAAGGAUCCUAUAUUAAUUUUAUUUAUAUGUGAAUAGCAUGUAUUUGCUAACUAGAUCUAAAAUUUUAUGGCUGUGAUUUUAUUUUUAUGUAGUAUUAUAUCCAUUAUCAUUAGAUAAAUAUCAUAAAGAUCAAAUUUGUAUAUGCCUAAAAUAAUCACAGAGUAGUGAUAUUAUUAUAGGCUCAAAUUUAUAUUUUAUUAUACGUUAUUAUUUAUGUUAUUGGUUGAAGAAAAGAUGAUUGAUUCAAAUCCUAAAAUACCAAAAGAAUAAGAUAUUGGAUUAGAGUUCCAAUGCAACAUGAUAAAAUAUUGGGUUCAAAUCUAAUCGAUGUACGUCUAAGACGCCUUUAUAUGAAUAAGACGUUGUGUUUAAAUCUCAAUGCACCAUAUUGAUGAUAUCAUGAUGGCUAAGGCAAAAUAAUGCGUAUUUCAUGAAAAGUGAUGAAACAUGUCCUAUUGAAAUAUGUUCCAUUCCUGAAAUGAAUGUGGUAGCAGUGCAUAACAUGUCUGAAUGAACACAAGUGGUUGAAUAGAUGCACAUAAACGUGGAAAGGGACAAAAUAAUAAUAUUUUUCACAUGUUUGCAUGCCUUGAUCUUAAAAGAGACUAUAAGCUAUCAUAAUUUGAUAGACUUAAGACACGAUUAUAUUCCAAACCUGGAGAAUGAGAAUCUUAUUAAUGCAAACGUGCAUUUUAUUGUGAUGGUAUCAUAACUCACCUCCGAAUGAGGCAUAAUAACUGAGAAGUGUAAUAGUAAAUUUGAAAAAUUUACUAAAGAAAAAAUACAUGUCAUGGUAAACUUGUGUUUACUACUGUAAAUAAGUUCAUAAGUUGAUAUGAACGAGUGUGACAUCUCGAAGAUGUGCAUAUUGAGUAUUAGACAUGUAUUGAAGAAUUAAAAGAUUCUUCAAGAAUUGUUUAUAUCUCUUGUUCUCAUGAUAAGUUGGUUAGACCAACUAAUAUUGGGAUUUGAUCCCUUAAAAUUCGAAAAGUUAAAAGGUGAAAAGGGCUCGUUCACCUAUUAUGUGAUAUGUUUUGAAAAGAUGCAUCAAUAAGAUGAUCAUAUGUAUAUUUAUUGUGAACCUGCAGUUUGACAUUCAUAAAGUUGUUUACUUAAUGAAAUUGAGUUAAGAGCAUUAUUUUCUGACUGUGCAAUCAAGACAAUCCAUCUUGAUGAAAAUGGGUUGGCAUUUAAUGUCUUCAAUAAAUAGUUAAACCAUUGUUAAUGAGAACAAAACUUCAUGUUGUUGGUCUGAAAUAUGAUUAGGACUUAUAUGCAUUAGACCAAUAAAUUAUGAUUAUUUCCUUCCUCUCAAUUGGUUCAAGGUCAGGAACCAACUAUUCUAUCUACUAGUUUUGAUAUGCGGUAUACAAUUAAUAAAUAUACCAUGAUACAUAAAAAUAGAUUCCUCAAAGAAGAUGGAGGAUGUAUGUUAGUUUUCCUAACAUGACGGGGGAGAUUAUAAGCAGCUCUGAAAUAUGCUAGGAAUUAUCAUCAGAUCCACAUUCAAAAGAUAAUUCAAGUCAUAUGUCGAAAACAUUUACUGACUCAAAUUUAAUCUCAUAUCUAAGCUGCAAGUGCUCCUAUUUUGUGUUCAUAAAGGACAAAAUCUACGCAUGUGUGAAGUGUGGUAGACCAAUCGAUUCCAAAUAAAAUAAUCCUCGAAAAGGAUAAGGAGUAAAUGGUCAUAAUAAGAAGACAAUGUGCUCUUGAAAGAGCCUAGGACAUAACACUUCAUGAAACCUUAUGAGAGGUUCAGGUACUUGAAAAUAAUGAAGUAAUGAGAUCUCAAAAUGUUAUGUCACACUGUGAACCAAUACGAAAUGAUAUAUCAUCAAUGAUAUCUUUGAUAUAAUAUUGAUGCAAUAUUGUAAAAGAUUACGAGGAUACGGAUUCUAUGUUUAUUUAAGCAUGCUGACGUAGAAACAUUUAUCAAGUGACCUAAAAUGAUGCAUUUUGGUAAGCGUAAACCUUAUUUGAUUUGCAGUCGAGACACUUGAAGAUGUCACACUUGACAUGUUGGAUAUUGUCACUCAAUAAAAAUCCAUAUGAAAAUCCCUAGAGGAUUCAAAAUGCCGAAAGCAUAUAAAGUUUAUGGGAAACUUUUUAUUAUCCUAAUAAGAGAUAAUUUGAUGAUCUGAGUAUCAGUGGAACUCUUGGAGAGUUUUCAAGGUAAUAGAAAUAUUUGCUCAAAUGAGAAAUAUGGAAAAUUGAAUACGGAUCCAUUCCGACCUCAAGAAAAGAAUGAGGAACUCCUUGGUUAUGAAGUGUCAUAUCUUAGUGCAAUUGAUGCACUAAUGUAUAUUGCAAAUACUGCAAGACUUGAUAUAACCCUUUUCAAUUAAUUUGUUAGCAAGUUUGCAGUCUUGAUCUUAUUGGUCAUGUUGAUGUUCGGUACUUAUCUGACCUAUAUAAAGUUUGGUCUCAAAUAGGCUAUGUGUUCAUAUGUGGUGGUACAACAAUGUCUUGGAGAUAUACAAAACAGUUUAUCGUAGCCACUUCAUCGAACCAUGCUGAGAUAAUAGUUAUUCAUGAAGCAAGUCGAGAAUGUGUAUGGUUGAGGCAUGAUAUAUCUUUUUUUCCUUCACUAUUUUUUUUUCCUUCACUAAAUUUUUUUUUCCACUGAAUUUUUUCUAAUAAGGUUUUAACGAGGCACAUUAUCUAUCAAUUAAACAUUCAAGGGGAGUAUUAUAAAUGUAUUUACAUUAUAGAAUAUCUAUCAAGAAUAUAGAUAAGAUUUAUCAAGAUCUAAAUGAUAUCUAUCAGGAUUUGAAUUAUCUAUCUUUUAAUGAGAUUUGAAUUAUCUGUCUUUUAGUGAGAAACUAGGAGUAAAUUUCUCCUAUAAAUAGAGGGGUUUUAUUCUCUCAUUCUCAAGAGAAAUAAAGAUGUCUCCUAUCUUUUCUCUAUAUGUAUCUACUCUUCUUCUUUAUUCUUUGUUAUUUCAUAAUACGUUAUUAGCAUUCUUUGUUAUUUCACAACUUUUAUUGUUUCCUUAACAAUGGAAAUUUGGAGCCAUUAAUUCUGAUGAUUUCUAAUAAGGAAAAGUUUUAUCAUAAAUAUAUUUUAAUUUUUAACUCUUAAAUAUUAAAAAAAAUAGUGAAAAAAUAAUUUUAUUUAAAACAAAGACUUUUAAUGGAGGAUAAAAAGUUCAAACAAUAUUUAUUAGGUCGUUCACACUUUUAAUAUAUUACUAUUAUUAUUAUUAUUAUUAUUAUUAUUAUUUGCCUGAUUACUAAGUAUUUUCUACCCUUCUACUUCAUAAAUAAUAAAUUUAUAGGUUUACAAUAUUAAUUAAAAUGCAAAAAGAAAAUCACAAAUAAUUAAAAAGAUGAAUGAAUUUAGAUAUGAUGUAAAACCCUACUACCACAUUGACCCGACCCGUUUUUCCUACCACGGGAUCGCUUAAACCCCUACCGCCAACCCAUUCUUUCUCUCUUUCAGCUUACUUUGAAGCUAAACUGUAGGCACAUUAACGUCCAUUUGUAAAAAUAUUUUAGCUUUUUACGCUGAAUAUUGGCAGCUGCAGCACAACAAUGUAAGAAUUGUUGUUUUUUUUUCUUUGUACUAAAUUUGAAUUUGAUGAUUUCCCAGAAUUAAGUUUUUUUGAGUGUCUGAUUGAUUUGUAAAUGCAAUGAAUUGAGUUUUCUUGUUCUGGUUUGUAAGGAUUAAUGUUUGGUUGGUUUAUUUAUUCAAUUUGAAUAAUACCCAGAAUGGAGUUUUGUGUAUCUAGUUUUUUUGGAAUGCGAAAAUUUUAGUUUUUUUCUUGGUGGAUUGUAGGAAUUAUUGAUUAUUGUGGUUUAAGUUUGAAUUUUUAUUACACCCAGAACUGAGUUUUGAGUUUCUGGUUGAUUUGUGAAUGCAAAGUCUUGAAUUUUCCUGUUCAGGUUGUAAGGAUUAAUGUUUGUUUUGGUUUUAUUUAUUUAUUUAUUUAUUUAUUCAAUUUGAGUAAUACCCAGAAUGGAGUUUUGUGUAUCUCGUUGUUUUGGAAUGCAAAAAUUUGAGUUUUUUCUUGGUGGGGUUGUAGGAAUUAUUGAUUAUCGUGGUUUAAGUUUGAAUUUAAAGGAUACUCAGAACUGAUUUUUGAGUUUCUGUUUGAUUUUGAUUGCAAAGAUUUUUUUUCUUUUUUUCUUUUUGGUGUUCUUGGAUAGUGUUAAAUGUUUAGUGUGUAUUUUUGUAUUGAAGGUCUCGUCUCUGUGUGAAGAAUUUGCCAAAGUAUGUAGCCGAGGACCGUCUCAGAGAAUUCUUCUCUCAGAAAGGGGAAGUCACCGACGCCAAGCUCAUGCGUACUUCGUUAAGUUUCUCUUCUCCUCUCUGCUCUACCUUUUUUUUUUUUUUUUUUAAAUAGUAAUGUGAGCUGUAGACAAACUCUGUGCCUGAGUCCAUAGUUUGUUGUACUGAUACGGGUCAAAAUGGAGGGAGCCAGCUAGAAAGCAUUCAUACAGUUAACCACAAUUAGUAAAGAACUUGUUGUUAAUGACUAAUGUACAGUAGCAUUUCAGUUUUUCAGUUUUUCAUCGGUGGUUUCAGCCAAUAAUUGAUUUUUUGACUGGUAUUCACGAAUUGCUAUUUGAUACUGUAGAGAUUUUUGGGUAUGUUCAUGAAUUUGAAAUUCAUUUGACAUCGACUGAUUGCCACUUUAAGCAGAGAUGGAAAGAGCAGGCAGUUUGGAUUUGUAGGAUUUCGAACGGAGCAAGAGGCUGAGGAAGCUAUCAAGUAUUUUGACAAGUCUUUCAUGGAUAAUAGUCGUAUUAUUUGUGAGGUAUGUUUUUUCUGCUUCAGUUACUAUGCUGUUCUGCUUGGGUGGUAUACCUAUUUAGCAGAAGACGAAAAAGCAUAUCUCUGUUCCAUAUUCCAUUAUUUUGAAAUUAGUCGAUAUAUACAUUUCAAAUUACUCCACCUGUCCUAUUUUAUGUGACAUACUUUCCUUUUUGGUUGUCCAAAAAAAAUGACAUCUUUGUAAUAAUUAGAAAUACUUUGACUUUAAUUUUUUAUUUUACUCUAUUAUAGCCUCAAAACUGGCAUGGUUUUUGUUAGACCACGAGCUCCAAAAAGAUUUCUUUCUUAAACUCCGUGUCAAGUCAAGCACCGCCAAAAUAGCUGGGACACAUAGUAUAAAAGAUGAUGCCUUUAUAAUUUUUCCAAGUAGCUAGUGAAAGUAUCCUUAUAUAAGUCCUGUUAACUUUAUUGCUUUAUUCUAAUUUACAUUGUGAAUUACUUGAAUCUUUAUUUUCAUGGGUUGUGGAUUAUUAUUUUUCUAGAGAGUAGCUAUAUAUUGGUGAUGUGCUUGAAUGAUAUGUGCGGGGGUGAGAGGUUGACUGGGGAUAGUUUCAGGAGAGGUAGAGGUAGGCUGAAGAAGUAUUAGCGGAGGUGAUUAGAGAAGAUAUGACACAGUUAAAGCUUACCGAGGAUCCGACCUUAGGUAGGAGGUUGUGGAGGAACACAACUUAGGGUAGAAGGCUAGAUAGAAGUAGAGCAUUGUCUCGCUUGUCCUCACAUAUGGUAGUCGUCGUAUUUCUCCGGUAGUUUCUUGUCCUUCAAUUUCUGUUACCAGCUACUGUCUCUUGUACUAUAAUUACCACAGUAUUUUAUUGUAGUAGCUAUUCCUUUUUCAAAAUGCUUUGCCAUGAUUUCUUCACUUUUCAUUAAUUUUUUCGAUUUGCUUUCAUAUGCUUUUUCUUGAGCCGAGGGUCUAUUGGAAACUCUCUACCUCCCAAAGUAGGGGUAAGGUCUGCAUGCACUCUAUCUUCCCUAGACCCCACUUGUGGGAUUACACUGGUUAUAUUGUUGUUUUGUUCUUGUGCUUGAAUGACACAUAAAUUCAUUUUCAUAUAGCCAGAUUGCAAGGAAAAUUGGGGAUCCAAAUAUCCCUCGUCCAUGGAGCAGGCACACUUUGAAGAAACAAGAGAAAUUGACAAAUGAGGAUGAGAAUGCAAAAGUAAACAAAAGUUCCAAGUCUGCAGGUUUAAAAGGGGACAAAAAGAAUAGUAAACAGGAGAGUAAGGAUGAGGAUCCUCAGCUUCAAGAGUUCCUUGAAGUUAUGCAGCCUCGGAGUAAGUCAAAGUUGUGGGCAAAUGAUACACUAGCAGCUCCAUCUCUUGCUCAAAGUAAAAAGGAUGGCCAUAAGCAAUCCCAGGCAAAAGAGACUAACCGGGAAAAAUUGGCUACUGAUAACUCUGAGUUAGAUGAGGUUAUUAAAAAAGAGGAAUCUCUGUCAGUUAAUGAAAAUUCUGAGAAACCUGACAGCUUCCAUAAUGAUGAAGUUAUGACCGAUACAGAUUAUUUCAAAAGUAGAGUGAGGAAAGAUUGGUCAGACUCAAAAAGUAGUGAAGACGAUGGUAGUGAUAAUGAAAGUGACACUGAAAGUGGCAAGAGCAAUGAAGAUGCAAAUACUGGUAAUAUCCUCAAACCUGAUGAUACAGAGGAAGUUUUGACUGAUGGGUUCACCAGAUCUAACAAUAAAUCGCUUGAGCCUGCUGACCCUUCAUCAAGUGUUAUGGAUGAAAAAGAAGAAGAUCUGGAGAGUGGACGAUUAUUUGUUCGUAAUCUUCCUUACACCACGACGUAAUACAUCUUUGUUCUUCUUUUUUCCUUUAUCCUUUUUUUUUCUGGGUGAUUUAGUUAACUCGAUAUGUUGACUUCAACAAACCUAAUGUAUGUUCUUGCCAAACAAAUGGUUUUAUGACUCAGGGAAGAGGAGCUGGAAGAACAUUUUAGAGCAUUUGGCAAUGUCUCACAGGUUCAUAUUGUUGUUGACAAAGAUACAAAGCGGUCCAAAGGAUUUGCAUAUGUUCUCUAUGCAUUACCAGAAUCUGCUGCUAGGUACCUGUCAAUCAGCAUCCAAAUUCUAAGCUACUGCACUUUUUACCUGCAAGAAGCACACUGAUAUCCGUGUUAUAAAUUCUGAGUCCCUUGUAUACGUAUGUAUGUGUCUAUUUUUCAUGUUCCAGUGCUUCCUUGCAUUGCUUUUUGAUUGUUUCUUCCAGGGCAUUAGCGGAGCUGGACAGUUCAAUUUUUCAAGGACGAUUACUUCAUGUCAUGCCAGCUAAGCAGAAAAUUUCUCCAGAGAAGAUAGAGUAAGUGUUGUUUUACCACGCUUUUCAAUGUUCAUAUCCAUUAGAUUGUUUGCUUAUGCAUAUAUGUCGAGAGAAGCUCUCCUUUUUCUUUUUAAUAAUGUGGGAUCUACCUUGCUAUUAUAAGAUUGGUUCAUUUAUUACUCUGUAGGACAGUUGAUAAUACCAAGCAAUUUUCAAAAACAUUUAAGCAGCAGAGACUACAGGAAAAGAAGGCAUCUGAAGCUAGUGGAAAUACACAAUCUUGGAAUACUCUUUUCAUGCGGCCAGACACCGUAUGUACACUAUCGAAUGUUAUAAUUUAGAAUAUUUUUUCUUACUAUUAUGAGGGUUGGUUCUGUCAUUUUAGAAUUUUAAUCUAUGUUUUGCUAAGACACACAUUCUUAUCCACAUUCUGCGCCACAUAAAAUAAUACAGAAAUUUAUGCAUAAACUCUACAUGGAUUAUUUAUGAGGAAAACGAUAACUAACAUCUGAACAUUGUACAAUUUAAUAUGGAUUUUUAUGUGAAGCUUAAAUUUCCUCAAUCCCAACCAAACAUGGUACAAAUUAACUUUGGGAUUUUUUCUUCCGGGGGGUGGGGGUGGGGGUGGCUUUGUACAUCAACUUUUACAGCCCCUUGAUGCUUGCUGUAAUAGACUGGGUUUAUCUUUUUUUACAUUUGAUCUGAUUUGAGUUAUUUUUGUUCCUAUAUUAUGCUUCUUGUAAGAUGAUUUGGUUGUUCAAAUCUUUGUAGCUAUCCUAACUUGUAUAAUCAGUUUUUGAAAUGCUUCAGGAUCUUUAAUUACUGCCCGUUUGGGUUGAGUAUGCAUUCUACUGUGUCAGCGUUUGGACUUGUUCUUGAAAGUAAAAAUGAGCUCCUUCUGUUCUUUGAAAUUUUUUAGGUUGUCGAGAAUAUUGCAAGAAAAUUUGGUGUUAGUAAAAGUGUUCUUCUUGAUAGAGAAGCUGAUGAUCUUGCCGUACGUAUAGCAUUGGGUGAGACUCAAGUGAUAGCAGAGACGAAAAAGGCUCUUGCAAAAGCUGGGGUUAAUAUUGCUUCACUGGAAGACUACGCUGCUGGAAAAACUGAUGGAGUGAAACGAAGCAAUCACGUUAUUCUAGUUAAGAACUUGCCCUAUGGUUCGUCAGAAGGUGAACUUGCGAAUAUGUUUGGGAAGUUCGGGAGUCUGGAUAAGAUUAUUCUUCCUCCCACCCAAACCUUAGCUUUGGUUUGUGCUUUUAUCUUUGAAGCCUUUGGUUUGAAAUGACUAUUCUUGUAACUAUAAUUGUUCUUUAUGUGCUUUGUGACUUUUCCGUACAAUAGGGUGUUCUGAUUUGAUACUAAUAGACCAAGUUUCUGUUUGUGUAAAUAGACAUGAAUUAGUUGGAAAUAACAAGAUUGUUUGCUGCUUCUGUGAUUAUUACAAUCAGGUUGUCUUCCUAGAACCGGCAGAAGCACGCACAGCUUUUCGGGGCCUAGCAUACAAACGUUACAAGUAAGUGUAUAUAUCCGUUUCUUGCUUUUGAUACAGCGGUGAUUUUUGUAGUUGAACAAGUAGCUGUAUAUGUAAAGACAAUUUCAUGUCAUGACUGAUAACUAAGCAAGAUUGGAAUAGCUUUAGAAUUGGGAUAACACAUAAAUACUCUCCUCAACUUAUUGUGAAUAUUCAUCUAUACUUUUUAACUUUGCUAGUGCCCUAUUACACCCAACCCCCAAGGGGCCUUUUUGAAGUUGAGUAACUACCAGAUUUGUGUUGGGUGUUGAAAUAACACCACUUACUCCAUAUACUUUGAAGUUGAGUAACUUUGCUAGUGCACUCACCACUUAAUUUUUGUUCACCUUUUUUUUCCAUAUACUUUGGUUAUUUCUUCCUCCACCUUUGUUCAAAUGCAUUAAGCGGACUCUCCCCCAAUCUAAACUUUGCGCCUUCCUCUCACUCCUACUCCAAUAAUUCCUUGUCAAUGAUUAGUGAUGUCGCCCUGUAUUCUCGAAACAAGGUGCAUUUUAUGUUACCUCGGAUCCUGUUAGUGAGAGAAGACUCAAAAUUAGAGGGAAGCCAUGGAAAGAGAAGGGAAUUCCAUUUUUUUUUACUUUGCUUUAGAGAAUUGAGAAACCUUCCAAUUUUUUAUUUUGCAAGAUUGAGGUUUCUCCUAGCUUGCUUUGUUCUUUCUAGCACAUAUCAGUUUUGCUGCAUCUCAUAUGCAAUAUAUUUUGAUUCAGUCUUGAAAGUUUGGAAUUAUGAAGUAAAUUUUGUCCCUUUGUCCUGAUGCAGAGACACUCCCCUUUAUUUGGAGUGGGCUCCUGGGAAUAUUCUUGAUCAAACGAGUGAUUCCAAAAAUGAUUUUAUUGUUGGUGAAGAUGAUGUAAAGAGAGUGCUCCUGGAGCAACAAGUGGAAGGAAUAGCAGAUCCAGAUGUUGAUCCUGAUAGAGUGGAGGUAUAUAAACUGUAAAACCCAUGUUUCCCAUCUUUAUAUAGAAUGUACUUUGGUGCUAAGUCCCUACUGUUGUAUGAGUCUACUUGCGAGCUGUUUAUAUCUACCUGUAUUGUAUAGACUAAUACCUAGCUAAGUUUGUCCUCGUCAAUCUUUGCUUGUGGAUUAUUUUUCUGUUCAUCUCCAUUUGCCAGCAACCGCAAAUGAAGCUUUGUUGAGGUUGGCACUUCCAUUUGAUCAAUAGUCUAUUAUUAUAUGCACUUCUGUCGCCCUGACAUGUGUCCCACCAUAUGACACAAAGUUUCACUUUAUGAAUGCCAUUUUAGGAGUCUGUCAUGUUGGUACAUUUACUUUAGGUUCAAUGUUUGUUAGGUACAUUUACUUUAGGUUCAAUGUUUGUUAGGAGUCUUUUAGUUUCGAUACAGAUGCUAGUAGAAAAUGUAAAGAAUCUCUAGUGCUAGAGAAACCAGAUCAAAAUCGUAGAGAGACGAGCUUGAGUGGAGUGGCAUCUAGCAUGUGUUGAGGACUCAUACAACUGACCCAACUAGCAUGAGGUUGAGGCGUACUUUUUGUUUUUGUCGAACACAAAAAUGUGGAAGAUAUUACAAAUUUAAGUGGUUUUGUUUUUGUUGAACACAAAAUGUGGAAGAUAUUACACAAAAUGAGGAGUGGCAUCUAGCAUGUGUUGAGGACUCAUACAACUGACCCAACUAGCAUGAGAUUGAGGCGUACUUUUUGUUUUUGUCGAACACAAAAAUGUGGAAGAUAUUACAAAUUUAAGUGGUUUUGCUUUUAUUGAACACAGAAUGUGGAAGAUAUUACAAAUUCUUAAACGAACUCUUACAUUUGAUUGAUACUGGUAACGUACUGGUAUAUAUAAAGUCACAUUUUCAGAGAAAUGAAGAAACCCGGCUAUGCAAAAAUCAAAUUUACAGACAGCCUAUCAAAUCGAUUAGAGAAUCUGUUUCCUCUAGUAGUAUGUAAGACUUUUUUGAGAAUUUCUACUAGUAUGUAAGACUCAAACUUAAGUCUACAUAUUUAUUCAAGUUUUUAGUUUGCUGGAAAUUAACUGUGGCCUGCAUAUGAUAGGUCCCCAGAAAAUCAGAAAUAAAUAAUUCUCAAAUAUGAACUGUACUCUUGUUGUUGUUGUUGUUGUUGUUGAACUGUACUCUUGGUAGCAGCAGACUAUUGAAUACACAUGGUCACAUGACAUGCUGGUUCAGCUGCUCCACUAUUGCCAAAAAAUCAUGCUACCUGUACCAAAAACCAAAAGAAUUCAGUUAUUGGAAAUAAGUAUAUAGUGAAGAACAUUGCAGUUAUAGAAAUUCCUUGUUACUUCUUUGUUUGUUCUUAUAACUGCCUUGAUUUCUCAGGUUUGUUUCUUGUUUCAUUAACCAAUUGAUAUUCUUGUUGUCACCUUUCCAGUCACGAUCACUGUAUGUCAAGAACCUAAAUUUCAAGACAUCAGAUGAGAGUUUAAAGAAACAUUUCACUGAUCACAUAAAGGAUGGGCGAAUAUUAAGUGUGAGGGUAAGUUCUUGUGGCUCUUUUUUAUGCUGAGACGCCAAGUAUUUAGCAUAGUAUUUCCUUUGUGCUACAUGAAAAAAUAACUAGUCUUCCUCCAACACCUGUUAAUAUUAUUCUGUGAAGGUGAAAAAGCAUGUAAAGAAUGGAAAAACUGUCUCGAUGGGUUUUGGAUUCAUUGAGUUUGAUUCUGCUGAUACAGCAAUCAAUGUUUGUAAGGAUUUGCAGGUAAUCAGUCUGAUUUUUGUUUUAACAUUUUGUCCAUACAUUCGGGCUCCUACAAAUAGCGUUUCAUCUUCCCCUCUUCUUGUCAUUCAGGGAACUGUUUUGGAUGGGCAUGCACUUAUAAUGCAACUUUGCCACACUAAGAAGGAUGAUCAACUACCAAAGAAAGCUGAGAAUGAUAAGAGUUCGACUAAGUUGCUUGUUAGGAAUGUUGCUUUUGAGGCAACUGAAAAGGAUCUCAGGCAACUAUUCAGUCCAUUUGGGCAGGUACUUCCUCUGAAGUGUUGUUAAUGUAGGGUGAUACUAAGUAGUAGAAAAUAAUACUAGGUUUUCCUGUGUUGGGAAGUGGCAAAGCUAGAAGUUAAUUGAGGAUAAGUAUGUCUGUGGGCACGAGGAUGCAUUAUAUCCUGUGCAUUUCCAUUGAGUCCAUAUGAGAGACAUUUAUCCAUAUGUAAGUGGGCAUGUAGAAUUCUCUCCGAUUUGUAAUGCUUUUGUUCAAAAUUCCAGGUCUAGUGGAAUGUGUCAUGAAAUUUAUUAGUGUGAAAAAUGUUGAUAUAGACAAAAUGAUGCGUGGUAAUUGGCAGAUGAUCUAGCCACUAGAAGCUAGGGCUAGAAAAAAAAAAAAACAUUAUGAUGGUUACUUGAAAGUCUGACAUAUAUGUUAUUUUUGACCUGCAUUCAUCAUGUUUCACAUAGCGACUUAUUUCAAUGUCCUUUCCGUUGACCUCAAAAUUAAAUUCAUCCUACAGAUUAAGAGUUUAAGGCUGCCAAUGAGGUUUGGGAACCAUAGAGGAUUUGCAUUUGUAGAGUUCGUCACUAAACAAGAGGCAAAGAAUGCCAUGGAAGCUCUAUCCAAUUCUCACUUGUAUGGGCGCCAUUUGGUAUGUGAUCUUGCAAUUCUCAUAGUAUAUAUCUACUACCUAAAUAUCACCAAGUAAUAUGUUGUGGUGCAUGUUACAUCUCAGGUUCUUGAGAGAGCCAAGGAAGGUGAGAGCUUAGAGGAAUUACGCGCUCGCACAGCUGCUCAGUUUAGUACUGAGCAAAAUGGGUUUCAAACUACUAAAUUAUCAAAGAAGAGAAAACAAAUGGCUAUAUUGGAUGAAGGGAGUUUUAAAUUCGAGCGAAUUGCUGAUUAAAUACUUCACAACUCCCUUCAAAUCCCCAAUUCACUUGUCCUGUAUAGGUUAAAGCUACUAAUUCUGCAGUAUUUAUAGCCCAAUAGUACUAAGAUGAGAGCUUGUUUAAUCAAUUUUGUUCAUUAAUGUAAUGUCUUGACAUCCUCUUCGGUUUGUAUUGUAGAUCAUGAAAAGUUUGCUGUCAGUUUGUGACAAAAAAAUAUCAAAGUAGUAGGUAAACAAAGUUUGAUCCUUUGGGAUGUUUCUUAUGGAUUACUUUAAUAAUGAAGAUAGCAUUCUUGUCACAGGGGGGUAAUGUAGAAAUGCUAUUUCUUAUCCACCAUAACCAAAAGAAAAAACUUAAAUCAUCUCGAGUUUAGAAGGUGAAUUUCUUGGUUAGAAAAAGAAGGGCAACAAAGGGUCGAUUUAAAAGGAAAAAAAAAAAACAGAGUGGCCAGUGUGAAAACAUGGACAAUUUUUUAAUUUGAGUCAAAAAAAUUUCCUGCAUUAUUAGAAUGACAAAGAAAAUAAGAAAAAAAAGUGGAAGGAAAUGAAGGAGGACGGCAAACAGGCGUUGACGUCCUAGUUUUAAAUACUUACAUAAAUUUUAAGUGAUAUAUCUCAAAGAAUGUGAUGUAUUCUUGUUGAAUUUUUUAGAAUUUUAAAAGACGUUGGAAUAGGAAGUAAUUAACAUCAAAAGAAUUGAGAUUUGCGUAACUUUUACAUUAUUUAUUCUGCUCUAGAAAAGUGCAAGGAAAUGAAGGAAAAUUUAGCGUCUUUAGAAAAUUCUCCAUCUUUAGCAAAAUAAGAACAAAAAUUUGCGUACAUUUUAUCUUUUCUAAAUUUCAUCUAUACGUGUUGACAGUUUGAUAACAUUUUCUUUUCUUGUUAAAAUAGUUCCUUCUUUUGGUCGUGACAUGCGCAAUUGGAAAAGAAAAAAGAAUCAAGUAAAUUGGUAAUAACGACAUUGCAGAAAUUUACCUCAAAAAAAAAAAAAAUUAUUGUCCCCUUUAAACUAUAUAUCAUCGAUCACUAUCAUUAUUCAUCAUUAUAUAAUCACCAAUCAGCACUAUAUAUUAUAAACUAUCGUCAUCAUUCACCAUCACUAUAAGCUAUUACUAUCAUCCACCACAACUAUCAGUCAUUGUGACAAGGAGUAACCAUCAAUCACUACUCUCACAACUAUCAUCACCAAUAGCUACACCCUUAACACCACUAUUUGCCAAUAUAUCUUCAAUCGACACCCACAAUCACUAUCGCUAGCCAUCACUAUCAUCAACAGUCAUAUAAUGUUUAUAGUAAAUUAAUUUAAUUUUUUUUAUUAAAUUUUACUUUAUAAUAGAAGCGGCAAUCUUGACCAUUUUAGAGUCGUCCUGGCUGCUUCAGCUGCUUCAAGCGUAAUUUUACUAUAUCACCCCUAAUUAAUUAUUAUAAAUUAUUUCAUUUAAGUAUUAUAAUAUUAAUAAUAUUUAAUAAAAGAAUAGUUUUCAAAAUGACUACUAAAUUCCUCAAAGUUCCAUUUAUUAUUAUUCGAGAAUUUUUUUUAGCUGUUUCAAUCGUAAUUUUAAUGUAUCACCUCUAAUUAAUUAUUAUAAGCCAUUUACGUAUUAAAAAUUAAUAAUAUUUAAUAUAAAAAUAAAACAAACAUUUUUUACAUGUCUGCUUCAGUUGGUUCGACAUAAUUUUACUAUAUCACCUCUAAUUACUCAUUAUGAGUCAUCUAAGUAUUAAAAAAUAAUGUUAAAAAAUUAUUAUAAAAUCAUCUAAGUUUUAAAAAACUAAUAAUAUAAAAAAAUAUUAAUCUGCCAAAUAUUUUUCAAAAAUAGGUAAGAAAUACUAUACAUCACAAUAAUUAGCAACUAGAAAGUUUAGAGUCAAUUUACUUUCUUUGGCACAUCUUCAUUGGUCCUUUCCUUUGCCUUCAUUUUUUCAUCUAUUUUAAUUUGUUAUAUAUUUUUUAAAAAAAAACUUGUAAAUCACAAUAAUUAAUAAAUUAAAAAUUAAAAACAUAUAAAUAUUUGACUGACUUUCAAAAUUAUAUCAUUGCUACUUAAAUUGGAAUAGAAGAAAAAAUACUAUAGAUCACAGUAAUUAAAAACUUAAAUUAUUUAUAAAAUAUAAUUGACUAUCAAUAGUACAAAAUUUUAAACAAGGAGUGUAACAUAUAUUAUUUAAAAUUUACAUAAAACUUAUUAUAAAUUACAAUAUUUAACAAAUUAAAAUAUCUAAAAAAAAUUAUUAUAUAUUUUAAAAAAUACAUAAAAGUGCUAUAGAUCAUAAUAAUUAACAAAUUUAAGACAUAUAAAAUAUUUGAUUGACUUUUGUUCAAUUAUAAAAAAAUAAGCACUUUGAUGAAGAUUUAUAGUAUCAUUCAAGUAAAUACAGAUUAAGAUCGUAGAAACAUGAGCUAGUGAUAUAGCUACACCUAAUUCCAGACCGGUUAAUGCAAGAACUAUAAAUAAAGGACCAAGAUCCCCUAUGAAAUAUAAUUGAAUAUCAACGCCACAAAAGUUAGGACAAGGAGAGUAACAUGUAUUUUUUGAAAAUCAUAUAAAAAACAUUACAAAUUACAAUUGUUGACAAUUUAAAGUAUUUUUUUAAUUUUUUUUUAUAUAUUUUUAAAAAAUACUCAAAAAGAUACUACAAAUCAUAAUAAUUAAUAAUUUUAAAAAUUGUAAGGAUAUAAAUAUUUGGUUGACUAUAGAAAUUAUAUCAGUGCUACUUAAUUUGAAAUUAAAAAAGAUUAUAAAUCUCAAUAAUUUUAAAAGUUAAAUUAUUUUUAAAGUAUAAUUGGCUAUCGAUGCUACAAAAGUUUGAAUAAGGAGAGUAACAUGUAUUAUUUAAAAAUUACAUAAAAAAAUAUUAUAAAUUACGAUAAUUAACAAUUUAGAAUAUUCAAAGCAUACUAAAGAUAUGAUUGAUUAUCUAUAUUUUAUUUAUGUCACAUAAAUUGAGACUAAAAAAUAAUAUAUAUUGGGCCCGUGCCAACCUAUUUAAAUAAAUUUAUAUAUUCAAAUAUUGAAAAAUAAAUAACUUUAAUUAUUUAAUAUUCAUAUCUUAAUUACUUAGUAUUCUGGUAAAAUAUGUGUUACCACCAAACAAAUCUCAUCAUUUUGUGACUUAAUCUAUAAUAUAUUAAAAGUGUGAAGCCCGUUAAAAAGUGAUUUGAAUUUUUUAUCCUUCAUUAAAACACUAUACAAUAGACAAAAUCAUCUUUUCACUAUUUUCCUUAAUUUAUUAUUUAAUUAAAUUUUUAUUUUUUAAAGUCAAGAAAUCCUAAAUUAUACGGUAAAAGAAAAAUAUAUAGAGAAUUAAUAUUGGUAAAUUUUUUAUUUCCUUCUAUAUGUAAAAAAAGAGUCUUGAAAUAUUUGGUAGAAAAAAGAUCCUAAAAUAUAUAAUAAAGAGAAUAAGAAAAGAUUUAAUAGUAGAAAACUUUAAGUAAAAAAGAAAAAUAAAAUCUCACCUAAAGUUUUAGAAAAACCAUUAUACGUUUUCUUUUAAUGUUAUGAUUUUAAUUCCUUUAAGUAAAAAGGAAAAAUAAAAUGUCAACUAAAGUUUUAAAAAAACUAUUGUACGUUUUCUUUUAACGUUAUUAUUUUAAUUUCAAACUAUAUAUAUAUAUAUAUAUAUUUCUUUUCUAUAUAAUAGAAACACUAAUUUUGACCAAUGCUUCAUCAAUUGCUAUACUACCCCAAAUUAUUUCAGAAUUUACUAUAUUACUCCUAAUUAAUUAUUAUAAUUCAUUUAAAUAUUAGAAUUAAUAAUAUUUUUUUAUUAUAUUAUCCCUAAUUAAUUAUUGUAAGUCAUUUAUAUAUUAUAAUUAAUGAUAUUUAAUUAAAAAAUAGACAUUUAUGACUUUUGUUUCAGCUGCUUUAACUGUGAUUUUACUUUAUCAUCCCCAAUUAAUUAUUAUAAGUCAUUUAUGUAUUAAAAAAUUAAUAAUAUUUAAUUAAAAAAUUAGAUGACAUGUCUACCUAUAUUACCUCUAAUUGCCCCGUAAUUUAUUAUAUUACCCCUAAUUAAUUAUUAUAAGAAAUUUAUAUAUUAGAAUUAAUUAAUUAUUAUAAGUCAUUGAUAUAUUAAAAUUAAUAAUAUUUAAUUAAAAAAAUAUUUAUAACGUUUGUUUCAGCUCCUUUAAUCGUGAUUUUACUAUAUCAUUCUUAAUUAAUUAUUAUAUGUCAUUUAUGUAUUUAAAAAUUAAUAAUAUUUAAUUAAAAAAUAGAAGUUUAUGAUGUUUGUUUCAACAUCUUUAACCGUAAUUUUACUGUAUCAUCCCUAAUUAAUUAUUAUAAGUCAUUGAUAUAUUAAAAUUAAUAAUAUUUAAUUAAAAAAUAGAAGUUUAUGAUGUUUGUUUCAACAUCUUUAACCGUAAUUUUACUGUAUCAUCCCUAAUUAAUUAUUAUAAGUCAUUGAUAUAUUAAAAUUAAUAAUAUUUAAUUAAAAAAUAGAAGUUUAUGAUGUUUGUUUCAACAUCUUUAACCGUAAUUUUACUGUAUCAUCCCUAAUUAAUUAUUAUAAGUCAUUGAUAUAUUAAAAUUAAUAAUAUUUAAUUAAAAAAUAGAAGUUUAUGAUGUUUGUUUCAACAUCUUUAACCGUAAUUUUACUGUAUCAUCCCUAAUUAAUUAUUAUAAGUCAUUGAUAUAUUAAAAUUAAUAAUAUUUAAUUAAAAAAUAGAAGUUUAUGAUGUUUGUUUCAACAUCUUUAACCGUAAUUUUACUGUAUCAUCCCUAAUUAAUUAUUAUAAGUCAUUGAUAUAUUAAAAUUAAUAAUAUUUAAUUAAAAAAUAGAAGUUUAUGAUGUUUGUUUCAACAUCUUUAACCGUAAUUUUACUGUAUCAUCCCUAAUUAAUUAUUAUAAGUCAUUGAUAUAUUAAAAUUAAUAAUAUUUAAUUAAAAAAUAGAAGUUUAUGAUGUUUGUUUCAACAUCUUUAACCGUAAUUUUACUGUAUCAUCCCUAAUUAAUUAUUAUAAGUCAUUGAUAUAUUAAAAUUAAUAAUAUUUAAUUAAAAAAUAGAAGUUUAUGAUGUUUGUUUCAACAUCUUUAACCGUAAUUUUACUGUAUCAUCCCUAAUUAAUUAUUAUAAGUCAUUGAUAUAUUAAAAUUAAUAAUAUUUAAUUAAAAAAUAGAAGUUUAUGAUGUUUGUUUCAACAUCUUUAACCGUAAUUUUACUGUAUCAUCCCUAAUUAAUUAUUAUAAGUCAUUGAUAUAUUAAAAUUAAUAAUAUUUAAUUAAAAAAUAGAAGUUUAUGAUGUUUGUUUCAACAUCUUUAACCGUAAUUUUACUGUAUCAUCCCUAAUUAAUUAUUAUAAGUCAUUUAUAUAUUAGAAUUAAUAAUAUUUAAUUAAAAAAUAGAAGUUUAUGAUGUUUGUUUCAACAUCUUUAACCGUAAUUUUACUGUAUCAUCCCUAAUUAAUUAUUAUAAGUUAUUUAUAUAUUAAAAAUUAAUAAUAUUUAAUUAAAAAAAUCAGCUGCUUUGUCAUUUACUAUAUUAACCUAAUUGCUCGGUGAUUUAUUAUAUUACCCCUAAUUAAUUACUAUAAGUCAUUUAUUUAUUAGAAAUUAAUAAUGUUUUUUUUAUUAUAUUACCCCUAAUUAAUUAUUAUAAGUCAUUUAUAUAUUAUAUUUAAUAAUAUUUAAUUAAAAAAUAUAUAUUUAUGACAUUUAUUUCAGCUGCUUUAACCAUGAUUUCACUAUAUCAUCCCUAAUUAAUUAUUCUAAGUUAUUUAUGUAUUAAAAAAUUAAUAAUAUUUAAUUAAAAAAUAGAUGAAAUGUCUGCCUAUAUUAUCCCUAAUUGCUCCGUGAUUUACUAUAUUACCCUAAAUUAAUUAUUAUAAGUCAUUUAAAGUUAUUUAUGUAUUAAAAAAUUAAUAAUAUUUAAUUAAAAAAAUAUAUGACAUGUCUGCCUAUAUUAUCCCUAAUUGCUACGUGAUUUACUAUAUUACCCUAAAAUAAUUAUUAUAAGUCAUUUAUAUAUUAGAAUUAAUAAUAUUUAAUUAAAAAUUGAUAUUUAUGACGUUUGUUUCAGCUGCUUUAACCGUGAUUUUACUAUAUCAUCCCUAACUAAUCAUUAUAAGUCAUUUAUGUAUUAAAAAAUUAAUAAUAUUUAAUUAAAAAAAUAGAUGACAUGUCUGCUGCAGCUGCUUCAACCAUAAUUUUGCUAAAUAUCGCUUAUAAUUAAUUAUUAUGAGUCAUCUAAGUGUAAAAAAUUUAAUCAUAUUUUUUUAAAAAAAAUAGACACAAAAUGAUAAAUUAACUCUUGAUGUAUUAAAUUAAGUUGACCUCCUUCAACCGUGAUUUUACUGUAUCACCCAUAAUUAAUUAUUAUUAGUCAUUUAUGUAUUAAAAUAUUCAUAUUAUUUAAUUAAAACAUUGGUUUCGACAUGGCUGCUUCAAGAGCUGCGCCGUAAUUUUACUAUAUCACCCCUAAUUAAUUAUUAUAAGUCAUUUAUGUAUUAGAAAAUUAAUAGUAUUUAAUUAAAACAAGAAAAAUAUGUGUUUAUGACAUGUUUGUUGCAGCUGUUUCAACCAUAAUUAUCUUUGAGAAGAUGAUCCAAGACUUUGUGUUAAUUGAAGUAUCUUUUGUUCCAGUUUUUAUAUGAAAUAAUCUUAUGAAUAUUAGUUCUACAUCUUUUCUAUAUUUUGUAGCAGGUCUCAAUUUUAUCAUCAAACAAUUAAAAUAACCCGACUACACGACACAUUACACCUUUUUAUCAUGUGGAAAAAAACUAUCUUAUAAAACUUCACUCCUUAGCGAGUACCAUCAAAUAGUUAUUAUUUAAAAAAUUAUCGUUUUAAAUCAAUGUACAUUUAUGUUUGUAUCUCAUCAAUAUUGAAUAUUGGUGCUAAAAGAUGUCUAUAGUGUUGGAUCCGUGCUGACACGGGCCAUGCACCUCUUGUAUAUAUAUAUAUAUAUUAUAUUAUAAUCUAUUUAAAGUGUGAAGGGCGUUAGAAAUGUCGCUUGAACUUUUUACCCUUCAUUAAAAGUCUUUUCUUUAGAUAAAAAUCAUAUUUUGACUAUUUUUUUUAAUUAUUUAAUAGUUAAAAAUCAAUUAAAUAUAUUUAUGAUAAACCUUUAAAACUUUUUAAGAAGAUUUAAAAAGUCUAUAAAUUUACAUCUACAAUAUAUUAAAUCCAUUAACCAUUUGAAAUUUGUGAUGAUAAAAUAUACAUGUGCUUAUAAUAAAAUAUAUAUUUUAAACUUUUUACAAUUCAUUAAAAAAAUUAUCUAAUUUUAAAUAAUCAAAAGUUAAUUGCACGUGCAGCUAAACUAGUAAUUAUACAAAUUUCCAUUGACAAAGUGAGGAGUAUAUUCUUUCAAAUCCUCUAACCAAUUUACAGCGGAGUUGGUAGUCCAAAAUAUUUCAAGAAAACUUGUUUCUCUUGUCUUGUUUCCUUUUAAACCCUUUUGUCCACUCUUUACAUUUCUACUACUCAAUUCAUUUGUUCACCAUAUAUUACCUGCCUUGUCUCCAUCUUUUCUCAACUGGGUAUGCCUUCAAAUUUCACCUAAUUCUGUGCUUUCUUUAGGGUUUCUCAUUGUUUUCAUUAAAUUCAAUCAUUCUUUUCUUUGUGGAUUUACUUUUUUAAGUGUGUUCUUUAUAUGAGAUCCCAAUUCACUUUGUGGGGUUUUUAGUAUUUGAUAAUUUUACUUUACUGUAAGUGAUAUUAUUAUACUUUGUUGCUUUGUUAGAAUUACUAGCAUCAUCUGUUUUCUUUGUGGGUUUUCUUUAAUUCUGCUUAUUGUGUACUCAUUUGGAUCUUCCUUGUUACUGUUUUUUUUGGUGGAACUUAGUGUUUGGAAUUUAGAUUUGUUGUGCCCUUAAAUAAGUGGUGUUUUUAGUUUGAACACACCCUUAACCAAACUACUCAUUCCUAGAAAACAAAGAUUGUUUUUACUAACUUAUCCUUGAUAAAUACUUUGGAAAAGAUAGUACUCUUUAGUAGUUUCUUGCUUAUUUAAAACUCUUUUUAUUUAAAAGAAGUUAAAAAUGAAGGAACAACAUGAAUGUCUUCUUGAUUAUCUAAAGUACUACUUAUUUGGGAAUAAAAUCAAAAGGCUGAAAACCACUUAAUUUAGGAAUGGAGGGAGUAGGCGGACAUUGAUUAUAAAAGUUGGCGUGAAUUUCCAGGUUCAGUUUGUGAUUCUGUUAGUUUUUAGUGCUUUCUUGAUUUACUUUUGCGUUUGUUCUGAAUCUUGAUAGAGGCAAUGUCGCAAGGCUAUGCUAUUGAGCUCUACUUUGAUCCUGCACUGGAAAACCAGGUCCUGAAGGCCUGGAAUGUAUUGGCUCGGCGCCAGAUUAGCACUCAGCUUAUUGAGAUUGAGUCUAGACCUCACAUUACCCUCUUCUCGAGUCCCAAUUUUGAUCCAUCAAAGCUUGAGAACAUUGUAAAGAAUUUUUCGUCCAAGCAAGAAUCUUUGCCUCUGUCCUUUGGUUCAAUUGGAAGCCUCCCAAGUGAUGACAAUGUUCUAUUUCUUGCCCCAACACCAACUUUGUCUCUACUUCAGUUCCACUCACAGCUGUUUGAUGCUAUGAAAAAGGAGGGCAUUGAGAUUGCAGAUGAGCAUCGUCCUGAUACGUGGAUUCCUUAUUGCCCGGUAGCUGAAGAGGUGCCUAAAACUCGUAUGGGGGAGGCAUUCACUGUUUUGAGGGAUCUGAAAUUACCUGUUGCUGGAUAUGCAAUGGAAAUUGCACUUGUCGAGUAUCCUCCAGUUCGUGAAGCAUUUUCUUUUGUGCUUGGUAAUACAGUUGAACCUUGAGGUUUCAGACAUGUAAUUGUGUUGAUUUUAGUUUAGGCUUUUACCUUUCAUAUCCUAUAUAGUUGCUCUUGUAGAACCUGAUAUAGAUGGUUAAGAGUGUUAUUAUCGUUGCUAAAUGGUCAUCUGCUUUGAUGAAAUAUUAAGUCAUUUCUGAUUCUUUCCUAUUGUUCGUACUUGCAUUGAGAUGUUGAUCUCUUAUGUCAGUGUUGGUGAUAAUAACAUGCUUAUUUUUUUUUCUUAUCUAUGGGAAGUCUCUGGUCGACCUCUAUUAGCAUAGAAAUUUUAUUUGCUUCUGUGUUCUAUCUUAUAAAUCAUGAACAUUGUUUGGCUUACGUGUUCUACUUUGUAAGUCUUGAAUGUGGUUCCUUUCAUUCAAAUGUAAUAUGUUUUAGUUCUUGUUAAGUUUAGCAAGUUCGAAUCAUGUGAGGUAAAUUUGCUUUUGUUAAAUAAUGUUGAGUAUAAAACUUGCUUGCGUUUAAAAAUGUUCACUUAUACAUUACUGCAGUACACCUUCUAAUUUGCAAGUCUCAAAGAUCAUGUGCUUUCUUUAGAUUGUAAUAUAUCCUGGUGCUUGUUGAAUUUAAUAUGAUUGAAUCAUGUGAGGGGAGUACAGAAGCUACCAGUUUUGUAUGGUUGGUAAAUCAAAUAGUAUUUGGAGAAAACAUGAGGCAGAGUUGAUUGAUGUACUAGCUGAAUAAACUGGAUAAAAGACAAGAACAGUCCAUUAUGUUUGACGUUGGUUUUGACUAACCCUUUUUUUUUUUUUUUUUUUUUUUUUUUUUUUUUUUUUUUUUUUUUUUUUUUUUUUUUUUUUUUUUUUUUUUUUUUUUUUUUUUUUUUUUUUUUUUUUUUUUUUUUUUUUUUUUUUUUUUUUUUUUUUUUUUUUUUUUUUUUUUUUUUUUUUUUUUUUUUUUUUUUUUUUUUUUUUUUUUUUUUUUUUUUUUUUUUUAAAAUCAUGG